CAGCCGCCGCGGUAAUACGAAGGGUGCAAGCGUUAAUCGGAAUUACUGGGCGUAAAGCGUGCGUAGGCGGGCAGGUAAGUCAGUGGUGAAAUCUUCGAGCUUAACUCGGAAACUGCCGUUGAUACUAUCUGUCUUGAAUAACGUUGAGGUGAGCGGAAUAUGUCAUGUAGCGGUGAAAUGCUUAGAUAUGACAUAGAACACCGAUUGCGAAGGCAGCUCACUAAACGCUCAUUGACGCUGAGGCACGAAAGCGUGGGGAUCAAACAGGAUUAGAUACCCCAGUAGUCCCUGUCUCUUAUAC
rnacentral:rRNA from 1 species